ACGGACUUACAUUGAAGCCUAGCGAUAUGUAAGUUAGUGGCGGACGGGUGAGUAACGCGUGGGUAACCUGCCUUGUACUGGGGGACAACAGUUGGAAACGACUGCUAAUACCGCAUAAGCGCACAGCUUCGCAUGAAGCAGUGUGAAAAACUCAGGUGGUACAAGAUGGACCCGCGUCUGAUUAGCUGGUUGGUGAGGUAACGGCCCACCAAGGCGACGAUCAGUAGCCGGCCUGAGAGGGUGAACGGCCACAUUGGGACUGAGACACGGCCCAAACUCCUACGGGAGGCAGCAGUGGGGAAUAUUGCACAAUGGGGGAAACCCUGAUGCAGCAACGCCGCGUGAGUGAAGAAGUAUUUCGGUAUGUAAAGCUCUAUCAGCAGGAAAGAAAAUGACGGUACCUGACUAAGAAGCCCCGGCUAACUACGUGCCAGCAGCCGCGGUAAUACGUAGGGGGCAAGCGUUAUCCGGAUUUACUGGGUGUAAAGGGAGCGUAGACGGUUUUGCAAGUCUGAAGUGAAAGCCCGGGGCUUAACCCCGGGACUGCUUUGGAAACUGUAGGACUAGAGUGCAGGAGAGGUAAGUGGAAUUCCUAGUGUAGCGGUGAAAUGCGUAGAUAUUAGGAGGAACACCAGUGGCGAAGGCGGCUUACUGGACUGUAACUGACGUUGAGGCUCGAAAGCGUGGGGAGCAAACAGGAU
rnacentral:rRNA from 1 species